rnacentral:ncRNA from 1 species
GAUAAACCGAUGAGAAAGAGUAGUAGUCAGGAGCAGAAGGAUUUUAAGAGAGCUGCAGAUGGUGGGAUUGCAGCAUGAAUUCCCUGAUGAAUGGACUUUCGAGGGCAGUUCUGAACCACAGUAGGAGUUGCCGGGCACCCGACCCGUUACACAACAGGGCAUAUAUGAUGGUAUAUGAAAAGAGUGGGCAUUUUUUAUGAUGCCAAUUUGAGUGGUACCGCGGAUAUCCGCCUCAAGC